AUGAAGUUCUUGAAUAUCCUUCUUGUUUUGUUCAUAGUUUGUUGUUUAUCAUGCCCUAGUAUGCAAAGCAAUUUAGAGACUUAUAUAGUUCAAGUUGAAUCUCCAGAAAGCCAAAGUUCCACUCAAUCAUUGUCAAUGGACUUAGAGGAGUGGUACCAAUCCUUUUUGCCAAAGAGUAUAUCAAGCGCAGACUCAGAUGAAGAGCUGCGCUUGAUAUACUCAUAUCACAAUGUGAUGAAAGGCUUUGCUGCAAGAUUAUCAGCAGAGCAAGUGAAAGAAAUGGAGAAGAAAUCAGGCUUUGUAAAUGCGUGGCCGGAGAAGAUAUUGUCUUUACACAGUACACAUACUCCGAAUUUUCUUGGAUUGAAGCAGAACAUUGGCUUGUGGAGGGAUUCCAACUAUGGGAAAGGUGUGAUCAUUGGAGUCUUAGACUCCGGGAUCACACCUGACCAUCCUUCAUUUAGCGAUGAAGGAAUGCCUCCUCCGCCUGCUAAAUGGAAGGGAAAGUGUGAAUCGAACUUCACUACAAAGUGUAACAACAAGCUCAUUGGCGCGAGGACUUUUCCAAAAGAAAAUGGUUCACCAAUAGAUGAUGAUGGACAUGGUACACACACCGCCAGCACUGCUGCUGGUGGUUUUGUGAAAGGUGCCAAUGUGUAUGGAAAUGCUAAUGGUACCACAUUUGGAAUUGCCCCUCUUGCUCACCUAUCCAUUUAUAAGAUUUGUGAUUCGUUUGGUUGCUCUGACAGUGGAAUUCUAGCUGCUAUGGAUGUAGCUAUUGAUGACGGAGUUGAUAUCCUAUCGUUAUCUCUUGGUUCGAGUUCUAGUCCCUUUUAUAGUGAUCCUAUUGCACUCGGUGCGUACAGUGCAACACAAAGAGGUAUUCUUGUUAGUUGCUCUGCUGGUAAUAGUGGUCCAUCUGAAAGUUCUGUUGGAAAUGAAGCCCCGUGGAUUCUCACAGUAGGCGCGAGCACUCUUGACAGGAAAAUUUAGGCAACAGUUCAGCUAGGAAACAAAAAAGUGUUUGAAGGCGAAUCGGCUUUUCACUCAAAGGCUUUCAGUACAAAAUUCUUCGCUUUGUUUGAUCCAUCACUAAAUGCUAGUGAGUCUGACAGCUAUUAUUGCGGAUCAGGUACGUUGAAUGAUCGCGCUGUUAAAGGCAAAAUAGUCUUGUGUAUGAUAGGGGGCGGUUAUACAAGGAUUGCAAAAGGACAAGCUGUUAAGGAUGCUGGAGGUGUUGGCAUGAUUCUAAUAAAUAGGGUAGAAGAUGGUUUCACUACAUCAGCUGACGCUCACGUCCUUCCAGCAAUGGAUGUAACUUAUGAAGACGGAAUGAAAAUCGUUGACUAUAUGAAUUCAACGAAGAAACAUGUUGCUCGGAUUACAUUCCAAGGAACUAUACUCGGAGAUAAAAAUGCUCCGGUUGUUGCUGGAUUUUCUUCUAGAGGGCCAAGCAUAGCUAGGAAUCUUAAAACCUGACAUUAUUGGUCCUGGUGUUAACAUUCUUGCUGCUUGGCCUACCUCCAUGGAGAAAAACAUAAACACAAACACAAAAUCUACCUUCAAUAUUAUUUCGGAGACCUCCAUGUCUUGUCCUCACUUGAGUGGAGUAGCAGCAUUGCUAAAAAGCGCUCACCCCACGUGGUCUCCUGCAGCUAUUAAAUCAGCAAUCAUGACAACCGCUGAUACAGUAAAUCUCGCCAACAAUCCUAUCCUAGAUGAAACGCUCCAUCCUGGUAGCAUCUUUUCCAUUGGUGCAGGACAUGUCAAUCCAUCUAGAGCAAAUGAUCCAGGACUAAUUUAUGAUACCCCUUUCAAGGACUACUUACCUUAUUUGUGUGGUUUGAAUUACACAAAUCGAGAGGUUGGAAACCUUCUGCAGCGUAAGGUGGAUUGCUCGGAAGUGAAAAGCAUUCCUGAAGCACAACUAAAUUAUCCUUCAUUUUCCAUUACACUCGGAGAAAAUCCUCAAACAUAUACAAGAACAGUGACUAACGUCGGGGAGGCUAAAUCAUCUUUCAUUGUGGAAAUAGUUUCACCACCAGGAGUUGGAGUAAUUGUUAAACCUUCUACUCUAAAGUUCUCGAAGCUGAACCAGAAAAGGACAUAUCGAGUAACUUUUUCAAGAAUAGCAAAUAGUUCAACCAGUGGUGUAGUUCAAGGAUUCUUGAAGUGGACUAGCAAUAGGCACUAUGUAAGAAGUACAAUUGCAGUCGUUCUAGAAAAAACUGUAGCGUUGGAUUUCUAUUCUCGUUUCAUUUUAAAAGUCACGAUUUAUUCCAUGUAAUAAGCCUGCAUUAAUUGUUUGAAUCCAAAAUGUAGAAUGAAUACAGAAAGUACUCAUGAUAUUCU